CUGAGAACAGAUGGGGAGGAAAUAGGAGCAAAGUCCAUCCUCCCAGAGGUCAGUGCUUGGGGAAACUGAGGCAGGGUGGUGGUGGCUUGUGUUUCUUGGCAGAGCUGGUCUGAUCCCAUCUCCAACCUGCUGUGGGUUUUUGAGACCCUGCUCUUUUUGCAUGGCUUUACCUGUGGACAGGCUCUACCCCACACCCCUGAGCCCUUGCCAUGACCCUGAGCUCUCUUCCCUCUGCCAGACUAAUGCAGAAAAUAAACAGCCCCAAAGCUUGGCUGUCAGGGCUGGAUUCCAGCAGAGCUUUUUCUAUCCCACCCCUCCAAAUUUCCCCUCCAGCUUGAGGCAUGAAGGCAAACAAGUCUCAUCCGACUGCCACCUAAAGAAGGUCAGUUAUCCACCCAUAAACUUCCAGCCCCAAAUCAGGAGGGGACAUGCACGAAGCUGAGCCACACAUUUCAUGCCUCAGUUUCCCCUUAUGCAUCUCCCUUAUUCUGGAGUACAGAAUGAGAUCUCUGAAACUGCCCUCUUCCAAGGAUGCUCUGGAUGUAGUUAUGGCAUUGUUAAUUUAUUUCUGUUGAGUGUCACGGGACAGCAAGGAGAGCACUUCAUCCUUCUGAGGGAAGGAGGAAAACCUGAGGAGGGAAUCAUGCAUGUGUUGGAAAAUGAAUGGAGGCCAAUGUACCUGGGGAGAGUGGAGAAUUGGUAGAAUCAUAGAAUCUUGGAUUUAUUAAGGUUGGAAAAGACCACUGAGGUGGUGGGUAGUGAUAGGACAAGGGGGAAUGGUUUUAAACUGAGACAGGGGAGGGUUAGGUUGGAUAUUAGGAGGAAGUUUCUCACUCAGAGGGUGGUGACACACUGGCACAGGUUGCCCAAGGAGGCUGUGGAUGCCCCAUCCCUGGAGGCAUUCAAGGCCAGGCUGGAUGUGGCUCUGGGCAGCCUGGGCUGCUGGUUGGCGACCCUGCACAUAGCAGGGGUUGGAACUGGAUGAGCAUUGUGGUCCUUUUCAACCCAGGCCAUUCUAUGAUUCUGUGAUUCUAUAAUAUUUGGAUGCAUUACAAACUCUGCAUGGAGAGCUCUCUGUGCACAUUGCGUGUCCAUUUCUAUAGGUGCAUGAACUCAUGCUGCAUGCAUGGGGAGGGCUGGAGCUGCAGCUGGAUUGCAGCCACCCCUGGGCAGGGCCAGCCAGCAGCAUGCACAGCUCAGCAGCACGGGCCAGGACACGGAUUAAUAUGCAAUUUUUCAGGUGCUCUGAGCUUUA
ensembl:lncRNA